CUGUCCGCGGAGGGUGAAAAAGCCUAGGAAUCUGCCUGGUAGUGGGGGACAACGUUUCGAAAGGAACGCUAAUACCGCAUACGUCCUACGGGAGAAAGCAGGGGACCUUCGGGCCUUGCGCUAUCAGAUGAGCCUAGGUCGGAUUAGCUAGUUGGUGGGGUAAUGGCUCACCAAGGCGACGAUCCGUAACUGGUCUGAGAGGAUGAUCAGUCACACUGGAACUGAGACACGGUCCAGACUCCUACGGGAGGCAGCAGUGGGGAAUAUUGGACAAUGGGCGAAAGCCUGAUCCAGCCAUGCCGCGUGUGUGAAGAAGGUCUUCGGAUUGUAAAGCACUUUAAGUUGGGAGGAAGGGCAGUAAGCUAAUACCUUGCUGUUUUGACGUUACCGACAGAAUAAGCACCGGCUAACUCUGUGCCAGCAGCCGCGGUAAUACAGAGGGUGCAAGCGUUAAUCGGAAUUACUGGGCGUAAAGCGCGCGUAGGUGGUUUGUUAAGUUGGAUGUGAAAGCCCCGGGCUCAACCUGGGGAACUGCAUCCAAAACUGGCAAGCUAGAGUACGGUAGAGGGUGGUGGAAUUUCCUGUGUAGCGGUGAAAUGC
rnacentral:rRNA from 1 species